CGGCAGCACGGAGCUUGCUCUGGUGGCGAGUGGCGAACGGGUGAGUAAUAUAUCGGAACGUACCCUGGAGUGGGGGAUAACGUAGCGAAAGUUACGCUAAUACCGCAUACGAUCUACGGAUGAAAGUGGGGGAUCGCAAGACCUCAUGCUCGUGGAGCGGCCGAUAUCUGAUUAGCUAGUUGGUAGGGUAAAAGCCUACCAAGGCAUCGAUCAGUAGCUGGUCUGAGAGGACGACCAGCCACACUGGAACUGAGACACGGUCCAGACUCCUACGGGAGGCAGCAGUGGGGAAUUUUGGACAAUGGGCGAAAGCCUGAUCCAGCAAUGCCGCGUGAGUGAAGAAGGCCUUCGGGUUGUAAAGCUCUUUUGUCAGGGAAGAAACGGUGAGGGCUAAUAUCCCUUGCUAAUGACGGUACCUGAAGAAUAAGCACCGGCUAACUACGUGCCAGCAGCCGCGGUAAUACGUAGGGUGCAAGCGUUAAUCGGAUUACUGGGCGUAAGCGUGCGCAGGCGGUUGUAGUCUGAUGUG
rnacentral:rRNA from 1 species